rnacentral:rRNA from 1 species
GAGCUUGCUCCCUGAUGUUAGCGGCGGACGGGUGAGUAACACGUGGGUAACCUGCCUGUAAGACUGGGAUAACUCCGGGAAACCGGGGCUAAUACCGGAUGGUUGUUUGAACCGCAUGGUUCAAACAUAAAAGGUGGCUUCGGCUACCACUUACAGAUGGACCCGCGGCGCAUUAGCUAGUUGGUGAGGUAACGGCUCACCAAGGCAACGAUGCGUAGCCGACCUGAGAGGGUGAUCGGCCACACUGGGACUGAGACACGGCCCAGACUCCUACGGGAGGCAGCAGUAGGGAAUCUUCCGCAAUGGACGAAAGUCUGACGGAGCAACGCCGCGUGAGUGAUGAAGGUUUUCGGAUCGUAAAGCUCUGUUGUUAGGGAAGAACAAGUACCGUUCGAAUAGGGCGGUACCUUGACGGUACCUAACCAGAAAGCCACGGCUAACUACGUGCCAGCAGCCGCGGUAAUACGUAGGUGGCAAGCGUUGUCCGGAAUUAUUGGGCGUAAAGGGCUCGCAGGCGGUUUCUUAAGUCUGAUGUGAAAGCCCCCGGCUCAACCGGGGAGGGUCAUUGGAAACUGGGGAACUUGAGUGCAGAAGAGGAGAGUGGAAUUCCACGUGUAGCGGUGAAAUGCGUAGAGAUGUGGAGGAACACCAGUGGCGAAGGCGACUCUCUGGUCUGUAACUGACGCUGAGGAGCGAAAGCGUGGGGAGCGAACAGGAUUAGAUACCCUGGUAGUC